AGGCUUGCGAGGGCGCAUCUAGCCCGUACGCCCGCGUAAGUGGCCUUCCGCCCGCGCUGGGACGUGGCGCUGGCCCGCCGGCGGGCCAGCACCGGUGCAAGCCACAGGCGCCCGGGCGGCGGCGCAGAAGUGGCGUAGAGCCCUACGCCGACGCAGGGGGGGGCGGGGAGCAAGGCGGGGUCAGAGUUAGUCCGCUCCCUAAGCUCCUCCAGAAGCGGGAACGCCCACAGCGGCGCAAAAAAGCUACGCCACGGAAAAAGAAGGCGUAGCCCAUAGGCGUCCAUGGAACGGCGAAAAAUCAGCCCCCUCUCUGAGCGCCUCGCCCCGCCCCUAUGGCCCGAAGGAGCAUAGGAUGAGAACUAUCCCGGGGACCAAUCAGCAUGCGCGCCCGGCGUGGACGAGCCCCCCUCUCUGCACCCAAUCACCUGCGACCGCGCCCUACAAAACAUCCGGCCAGCGCCACCCAAACCCCCAGGUGCCCUGACUCUGGCGCUCCCACCUGGUGAUGACCGACGGAGCGCUGACAGGCACAUCCAGGGCAUGGCUGCUCCCCCGCGCCCCGCCCUCCCCAAACAUCUCUG